rnacentral:tRNA from 1 species
GGGGUUCUAGUUUAAAAAAAAUAUUUUGUUGUUAGCAGAAGGAUACGAAUUAAGUUCUUGUGCCCCG